GGUAUCUGCCCUUUGGCCUGGAAUAACACGAGGAAACUUGUGCUAAUACCGGAUAAGUCUUUACGGAGAAAGCUUUAUGCACCAUUGGAUGAGCCUGCACUUGAUUAGUUUGUUGGUGGGGUAAUGGCCUACCAAGACUGUGAUCAAUAGCUGAUUUGAGAGGAUGAUCAGCCACAUUGGGACUGAGACACGGCCCAAACUCCUACGGGAGGCAGCAGUGGGGAAUCUUGCACAAUGGAGGAAACUCUGAUGCAGCGAUGCCGCGUGAGUGAAGAAGGCCCUUGGGUUGUAAAGCUCUUUCGUCGGGGAAGAAAAUGACUGUACCCGAAUAAGAAGGUCCGGCUAACUUCGUGCCAGCAGCCGCGGUAAUACGAAGGGACCUAGCGUAGUUCGGAAUUACUGGGCUUAAAGAGUUCGUAGGUGGUUGAAAAAGUUAGUGGUGAAAUCCCAGAGCUUAACUCUGGAACUGCCAUUAAAACUUUUCAGCUAGAGUAUGAUAGAGGAAAGCAGAAUUUCUAGUGUAGAGGUGAAAUUCGUAGAUAUUAGAAAGAAUACCAAUUGCGAAGGCAGCUUUCUGGAUCAUUACUGACACUGAGGAACGAAAGCAUGGGUAGCGAAGAGGAUUAGAUACCCUCGUAGUCCAUGCCGUAAACGAUGUGUGUUAGACGUUGGAAAUUUAUUUUCAGUGUC
rnacentral:rRNA from 1 species